rnacentral:rRNA from 1 species
UUAAAGUAGUAAGGGCGCAGGGUGGAUGCCUUGGCACUAAGAGCCGAUGAAAGACGUGAUAAGCUGCGAAAAGCUUCGGGGAGGAGCAAAUAUCCAAAGAUCCGGAGAUUUCUGAAUGGGGAAACCCACAUGAGAAUACCUCAUGUAUCCAUACGCCAAUCCAUAACGUAUGGAAGGGAACCCGGUGAACUGAAACAUCUAAGUAGCCGGAGGAAGAGAAAGAAACAUCGAUUUUGUUAGUAGCGGCGAGCGAAAGCGAAAGAGGCCAAACCGGAGUGCGUGCACUCCGGGGUUCGGACCGCAUUUAAGAUUCAGUGAUUCUAGCAGAAAGGCUUGGGAAAGCCUGCCGGAGAGGGUGAAAGCCCCGUAAGCGAAAGGAGAGCUGACUGAGCGGGAUCCAGAGUACAUCGAGACACGAGAAACCUUGAUGGAAAGAGCGGGGACCACCCCGUAAGCCUAAAUACUACUUAGUGACCGAUAGCGCAUAGUACUGUGAAGGAAAGGUGAAAAGGACCCCGGGAGGGGAGUGAAAGAGAACCUGAAACCCUGUGUCUACAAGCUGUGGGAGCACCUUAUGCGUGCAACCGCGUACUUUUUGUAGAACGGUCCGGCGAGUUACGCUUACUGGCAAGGUUAAGCACUUCAGGUGCGGAGCCGUAGGGAAACCAAGUCUUAAGAGGGCCAGAGUCAGUAGGAGUAGACCCGAAACCGGGUGAUCUAUCCAUGUCCAGGUUGAAGCUGCCGUAAGAGGUAGUGGAGGACCGAACCCACAUCCGUUGAAAAGGGUGGGGAUGAGGUGUGGAUAGCGGAGAAAUUCCAAUCGAACCCGGAGAUAGCUGGUUCUCCUCGAAAUAGCUUUAGGGCUAGCCUCAUACAAGUCUUGCGGAGGUAGAGCACUGAAUUUCCUAGGGGGCGUCAAAGCUUACCGAAGAAUAUCAAACUCCGAAUGCCGUGUAGAUGUUGUAUGGGAGUCAGACUGUACGAGAUAAGUUGGACAGUCAAAAGGGAAAGAGCCCAGACCGCCGGCUAAGGUCCCAAAGUGGGUGUUAAGUGGAAAAGGAUGUGGGAUCUCUAAGACAACCAGGAUGUUGGCUCAGAAGCAGCCAUUCAUUAAAAGAGUGCGUAACAGCUCACUGGUCGAGAGGUCCUGCGCCGAAAAUGUCCGGGGCUGAAACACCACACCGAAGCCGCGGAACCCGUAAGGGUUGGUAGAGGAGCAUUCUUAGGGGAGCGAAGCAUUACCGGAAGGGGAUGUGGACUGCUAAGAAGAGAGAAUGCCGGAAUGAGUAGCGAGAGCAAGGUGGGAAUCCUUGCGGCCGAAUAUCCAAGGUUUCCAGAGUAAAGCUGAUCUGCUCUGGGUAAGUCGGGGCCUAAGGAGAGGCAGAGAUGCGUAUCCGAUGGACAGCAGGUUUAAGAUUCCUGCACCCCUUGUUAUCAGAACUGCGGGGACACGGGAAGGGAAGCAGAGCCGGGAAUGGAAAGCCCGGUGCAAGCGAAGUAGUCGCAGGGUUGGAAAAUCCGCCCUGCAUGAGACGAAGGCGUGAUGCGGAGCGAAAUGAAGUAGUGAAGCUGCGGCCCCUUCCUGUCGAGAAAAGCCGCUAUCGUGUAGCAAGGGCCCGUACCGUAAACCGACACAGGUGGAUGAGGAGAGGAUCCUAAGGCCGGCGGGAGAAGUGUUGUUAAGGAACUCGGCAAAAUGACUCCGUAACUUCGGGAGAAGGAGUGCUGCGCAAGCAGCCGCAGAGAAAUGGCCCAAGCAACUGUUUAGCAAAAACACAGGUCUAUGCGAAACCGAAAGGUGAGGUAUAUGGGCUGACGCCUGCCCGGUGCUGGAAGGUUAAGGGGAGAGGUUAGCGCAAGCGAAGCUUUGAACUUAAGCCCCAGUAAACGGCGGCCGUAACUAUAACGGUCCUAAGGUAGCGAAAUUCCUUGUCGGGU